GACGAACGCUGGCGGCGUGCUUAACACAUGCAAGUCGAACGGAAAGGCCCCCUUGUGGGGUACUCGAGUGGCGAACGGGUGAGUAACACGUGAGUAACCUACCCUUGACUUUGGGAUAACUUCAGGAAACUGGGGCUAAUACCGGAUAGGAGCUCCUGCUGCAUGGUGGGGGUUGGAAAGUUUCGGCGGUUGGGGAUGGACUCGCGGCUUAUCAGCUUGUUGGUGGGGUAGUGGCUCACCAAGGCUUUGACGGGUAGCCGGCCUGAGAGGGUGACCGGCCACAUUGGGACUGAGAUACGGCCCAGACUCCUACGGGAGGCAGCAGUGGGGAAUAUUGCACAAUGGGCGGAAGCCUGAUGCAGCAACGCCGCGUGCGGGAUGACGGCCUUCGGGUUGUAAACCGCUUUCGCCUGUGACGAAGCGUGAGUGACGGUAAUGGGUAAAGAAGCACCGGCUAACUAC
rnacentral:rRNA from 1 species